rnacentral:lncRNA from 1 species
GUUCAACUGUCAUGCAAGCAGGAGUCCUAGAGAAUAUUUAUUUUUUUUCUUGAUUCCCUAUGGGCAUUUUUCAUAGAUAUAAGUAUUUAUACAACUUAAAGGAACAGCCACACUGAAGAUACUCUGACUGAUAUAGAAAACCCUAUGAAGAAGACAUAAAGAUUCACAUCUCACAGAACAAGAACGUACUGAAUUCUUCCUUGGUCCUACCGAUGCAAAAACCAUAGAAACCUCUAUGUGUUGUUGGGUCUGAACAUCAGGUUUUUUGUGCAGGGAGAGUGAAGUGCUCCAAAUGAGGUUUUGCAGAGCUGGCUUGCUGUGCUUCCAGCUGAGGUAGAUCAUCAGAAACAUGGAGGGCCAGUGCUGAUCGGAAUGCACAAAAAGGCUGAAACACAAAAUCUGAGGCUUGUGGAAAAAGCCUCCUUCUCUAUCAGAUUUACAGCUGGAAAUCAUCUCCUGAAUUUCUUCACCUAAGCCAAUCCAACUGCAUUCAUAUGAAGUACAGAUAAGGAAAGGACCUAUGUGACGUCUGGUUUCUUAAGUGUUAUCUGGCUCCAGAUGAAGUACGAAUCAGUGUUUGGAGGAGUUCUAUAAGAUCAAAUCUGUGACAGCUGCAGGCUUGCUCAUCUCAAGACCCUCAGACCACUUCAUAACCAAGGAUACAUUAGUGGAGCAUCCUGAAUAAUCUUAUGUCUUUCCGGAAGUCAUUCUCAGCUGGAUUUUGGCAUAAGACUUGUUGUUGCACCUGCUCUGCAUUAAAAACUCAAACUCUACAAGCAAGCAUUCCAGAACCAGACAUGAAUAUAACUCGGAACUAAAAUGAACAUUCUGCUCCACUAACUUUCAUCCAUGGAUGAUGCCCUUUGUUUUUGAACACUGCCUUUAAUGGCUCCUGUUAAGGACGAAGCAGGUUUGAGUUUAGCUGUUACUGGAUCUUCGAACUAAAGGCUGUCAAGUUACCUGUUUGGAAACAGUUGGGCUUUUCAUUGACGUUGCUUUCUUGAAAAGUGCUUUCAGAGCUGUUUUCCACUCCAAAAAUGAAGAAGUAAAAUGUGGAAACAAAACGCUGGAGGACAACAUAAAACUCAGCAAGCUGUAAGUGGGUUCACAGGGUUUACUUCAUCACAUGCUCCAGACCAAGUGCUGCAGCACUGUGUUGCACUUGGCUUUAAGUUUGCAGUAGAGGGAACAAAGUGAUGCACUGAGAAAGAUUUCUGGACUGUGAGUGCUCAUGUUCUUAAUCAGAUUACACUUUAUCAACUUACCCCUUCUCAUUAAUCCACAGUAAAAGUCAUGUGUACUCUUAACCUGUCCCAGCUCUGAAACAAAACAUCAUCUGAGGCUCUACAUCAGUGUCUGUUUUAAUGCUAGGCAAUUGCUUAAGGCAAUUUACUCAGUGUUAAGGAGGUACAGCUUAGAAGUGUGUUUCUUGUGAGAUACUGCAGAACUUCCGAGAAAUGUUAACCACAUACACCAAAUGAUUAACUGAGUAAUGCAGAACUCGGGGUAGUUUCAGCUUGCAGAUUCAAACUCAAGUGUUACGGGAACGCAUGCAAAUGUCUGCAUGGGAAAUGGUUGUGUAAGAUCUCGUUUCAUUUAGCAGUACAGUCAGUGAAAUUAAGAGCACUGUUCGUCACAGAAGCUAGCAGGGAAGCAAUAGGGCAAUGGAAAACAAUGGGACCCUCCUGAGCAUCAAAAAUGAAGUUUCUGCAUAUUGAAGCUCAAGAUUUCCACAGACGAUGACACCAGUUUUCACACUGUCCCACACGUUGCUCCCUAUAUAUGGGCACACACAUUUUCAAAAUGAAUUUGGG